rnacentral:rRNA from 1 species
GAUGAACGCUGGCGGCGUGCCUAAUACAUGCAAGUCGAGCGAACAGACGAGGAGCUUGCUCCUUUGACGUUAGCGGCGGACGGGUGAGUAACACGUAGGUAACCUACCUAUAAGACUGGGAUAACUUCGGGAAACCGGAGCUAAUACCGGAUAAUAUUUCGAACCGCAUGGUUCGAUAGUGAAAGAUGGCUUUGCCAUCACUUAUAGAUGGACCUGCGCCGUAUUAGCUAGUUGGUAAGGUAACGGCUUACCAAGGCAACGAUACGUAGCCGACCUGAGAGGGUGAUCGGCCACACUGGAACUGAGACACGGUCCAGACUCCUACGGGAGGCAGCAGUAGGGAAUCUUCCGCAAUGGGCGAAAGCCUGACGGAGCAACGCCGCGUGAGUGAUGAAGGUCUUCGGAUCGUAAAACUCUGUUAUUAGGGAAGAACAAACGUGUAAGUAACUGUGCACGUCUUGACGGUACCUAAUCAGAAAGCCACGGCUAACUACGUG